CAAAAAAUUAUAAUUUUAUUUACAAUAAAGUUUUGGUUUUAAUUAAUCUUUUUUGA
rnacentral:tRNA from 1 species